GACGAACGCUGGCGGCGUGCUUAACACAUGCAAGUCGAGCGGAAAGGCCUCUUCGGGGGUACUCGAGCGGCGAACGGGUGAGUAACACGUGAGUAACCUGCCUUUGGCUUUGGGAUAACCCUCGGAAACGGGGGCUAAUACCGGAUAUGAUUUCUCACCGCAUGGUGGGGGGUGGAAAGUUUUUUCGGCCAGGGAUGGGCUCGCGGCCUAUCAGCUUGUUGGUGGGGUGAUGGCCUACCAAGGCGGUGACGGGUAGCCGGCCUGAGAGGGCGACCGGCCACACUGGGACUGAGACACGGCCCAGACUCCUACGGGAGGCAGCAGUGGGGAAUAUUGCACAAUGGGCGCAAGCCUGAUGCAGCGACGCCGCGUGGGGGAUGACGGCCUUCGGGUUGUAAACCUCUUUCGGCAGGGACGAAGCCUUUUGGGGUGACGGUACCUGUAGAAGAAGCGCCGGCCAACUACGUGCCAGCAGCCGCCGUAAAAC
rnacentral:rRNA from 1 species